AUGCUUUUGCCUCGAACAACACAAACGAACUGAGAAAUGCUAGCCAGGAAAUUUGUAAGCUGCAAAUUAUAGGCAGGGCGCAGCCUACUAUUUAUCCGAUUUGAUUUUCGCCCAGGAAAAGCUGUGGAAAUAGAUGGGAAAUAUUAUUCGAUCAAAUAGGUUUUGGGUUUAGAGUCAGGGGAAUGACAUUUACUCAAGAAAAUUAUGCUUUAAGUUUAUUUUAGAGAAUUUUCCAUGUAACACAAUCUUUUCCUUUCCCUUUCUUGCAGCAUUUUUUGUUAACAAUUAUUAUAAUUAAAAGAGGACAAUGUCUUGCAAAUCAUUGACUGGCGGCAACUGCCGUCACAGCAUGGCGGACAAAUUUGCACACAACUCCAAAGGACACCAGAGCCUAAGACCACCAGCCUCCAGAGCCUCAGAGCCUUAGGACACAGUGCUUUUAGAGGCUCUGCCCCAGAGCUUGGCCUGACACUUUUCCAGCGCCAUUUGUCGCUGUCGUUCUGGUUGUCCUCAAUGUCUGGGUGCCCAUCCCCAGCGCGCUUUUCCCUUAACAGUUUUCAAUUUUCCCGCUUACUUGUAAGCGCAGCUGCCAGAGAUACUUCCGAAGGAUACCCCGCACUCCACUCCACCCCGGCGAAGAGCUUAUGUUGCUUCAGAGGAUGUGGAUUCCCAUUCCCAAGGUAAAUGUGCGGAGAAAGUGGGCUUCCCAGGGAAAAGGAUUUGAGAAAGGGCGAUAUAUCUUUCGGAGUGGGUUAGCGGUGGGCCUUUGCAGUCUUCAAUGCUAAAAAAAUCGAAUAAACCACGCGACUGAUGCAUCUGAUUCAAUUACAAGGGCAGCGCCCGAAAUUAGUAGACAUUAAUAUAACAACGGAACGCGCGCUGACCUAUUAACCCAGCGCGCCCAACCCCAACCCCAUGCCACUCAUGACGCAUCAUUAGGGGAAAAUGGCAACGAAAUUAAAGGAAAUUACCGCAAGGAAGGGUCCAAGGAGAAGAUGUGGCAAAUGAGGCACACAUUUAUUUGAAUGUAAUCCAUUAUGAAAUCGCAUAAUGAAGAGAUUAGCACACGCAUUCGCACAGCCCAGACCGCAAUUAAUAAAUGACCCGACAAAAGGACAAGCCAAAGAGAAAGGAAAGGAAAGGACCUCCUCUGUCUGCCAUUGCGUGCCAAAGAAAUCCAAUAAAUUAGGCAAACGGUAA